UACGUAGGUGGCAAGCGUUAUCCGGAUUUAUUGGGUGUAAAGGGCGUGUAGGCGGGAGCGCAAGUCAGAUGUGAAAACUCAGGGCUCAACCCUGAGCCUGCAUUUGAAACUGUGUUUCUUGAGUGCUGGAGAGGCAAUCGGAAUUCCGUGUGUAGCGGUGAAAUGCGUAGAUAUACGGAGGAACACCAGUGGCGAAGGCGGAUUGCUGGACAGUAACAGACGCUGAGGCGCGAAAGCGUGGGGAGCAAACAGG
rnacentral:rRNA from 1 species